UAAGAUAUAAGAAUUUUCUCACAAUUGUUGAAGUCAUGAAAAAACUGUUAAGGAUUGGGAAUUCAAUUCGUAUUGUAAAAAAAUUUAUUCUGACGUAGAACCAGCGAUGUCUUGCUCGUAAGUUCGACGAACAGACACCUUAGCCACGCAUAUGUAUGAAAAACUAGUGAGAGGCGAAUCAAAUGAGACUUGCAGACUCCAUUCAGCUGUUGAAAUAAGUUCAAAUUAAUUGCAACCUUUGCUACAAUAUUUGUUCACAAUUAAGUUGGCAUAUUUAUAACGAAAAUGUAUUGUAUUAUUCAGAAUAUCUCCAACCAAGCCAAGCGAGUUUUUGCGAGCUGCCUGUAAACGACUUCCCGCUGGGCAUACGCGACCUAUGUGCAGAUCCCAGAUCCGAAUUCAACACGCAUGGUUGGCGGUUUUCAACACCUUUUUCAACUGGUGCGAAAAGCGAGCUUUUGCAUUAAAAUGUUUGCAAUGCCUAGUCCAAGCAAUCAAGCCACAUUCAAGCUUAAUUUCAAUGUAUGCGCACAUAAUUUGAUUACUGUUCGGGCUUCGUGUUGAUGCACAAAAAUUCUCCUAAAUACCAAAUUUGCUAAGUCCGACAAAAUUAUUGCUUAAAAAUUCCCAAGCCUGCCGCCUCCGGACCUGGACAGAGACAAGAUGGCCCAUAAAAUGUGGUGCAAGUGUCGCAGCAAGUGGUGCAAAUGUUUGGCAGUCGACAUCAAGUGGGAAAGUGUCAGGCGGCAAAUACAAUUAAAUAUUCAAAUGUACAAUCAAUAAAUGGUUUUGAAAUUUGUGAUACUGCAA